GAUAUUUUCGAAGCCCUCAUUUCGCGAAAACUCAUUCUUUCCCAAUCUUCACAUUCUCUGCCCUAACUUCAUCGACAAACUCACUGGCUGGCUUCUGCAGAUUGCUUCCACCCUCACCACAAUCGGGAUACACUUCUUCCCCACUCCUCCAUUAUAGCGUUUUCCAGUGUUGUGAGCUGAGGAAGGUGGUGGGUGGCUGAGUUGAAGGCUACCAUUGUCAAGGGAGGAUAUUGGACGACGCGGAAUAGACGAGGCGGCGUAACUAGGGCAGUGUGGCUGCGUGGCAAGGUCUUCCAGUACUGCUUCAGAGGCUAUUGAAGGGGCUACGGUCGAGGCACAAGCUCUUGGACGAGCGGUCCAUGUUGACGAGGUCUUUGCACAGACCCAUCCAGCGCUUGACACAGCUACUGGACCAACGUGACCACGAAAACCGUGCAUUGAGAGAAGAAUACAGUGACUUGAGAGAUGAGUUCUCAAGCUUCAAGGCCCUUGUCAUGAGAGCGCUGCCUCAAACUUCAGACACUCCUUCCAUUGUCCCUCCGACCCAGCCACGACCCUCCCCGUCACCCGCCGUCCCUCAUCAGCCCACACCAGUCUAGCCCACACCAGUCCAGCCAUCUACAGAUGACCAGGAGGAUGAACAUGUUUCUGAAGACUAUGUAGAUUUUUAGUUUCAUUUUGUUAUUGAUCAUAGUACAUUUAAAUGUUAUUAUGAUAUUGUUAGAAUAUAAUUGAUGUUAGUACAUUAUGAUAAUAAUGUUAUAGUACUUUAUGCUUUUCCAUCAAUGAAUAUAAAAUUUUGGGAUGGACAAUAUAUAUAUGCAGGUCUGUUUGUUUGUAAAUUGAAACUGUUAUACAGGUCUGUGUGUUGUGAAUAUGAUAUGCAGGUAUGUGUGGUAGAACAGCAAAACA